GCCUGGUCAGGGAAAGACCUCCCAGGGCCCCAGGAAGGGUGGAGACGUUGAGCUGCAGACACAAGGGUGCCCCACCUCGGAUCUUCCCAGUGCUCAUCACCACAGUGAACGCUCUGAGCGUGCGGCUGGGGAGCUACGUCCAGAACGUGUUCACAGCAGCCAAGCUGGUGAUCGUGGCCAUCAUCAUCGUCAGCGGAAUUGUCCUGCUGGCCCAAGGAAAUACAAAGAAUUUUGAAAAUUCUUUUGAAGGCACAAAAGUGUCUGUGGGAGCCAUCAGUCUGGCAUUUUAUAAUGGACUCUGGGCGUACGACGGAUGGAAUCAACUCAAUUACAUCACAGAGGAACUGAGAAACCCUUUCAGAAACCUGCCCU